AUUGAACGCUGGCGGCAUGCUUUACACAUGCAAGUCGAACGGCAGCGCGGGCUUCGGCCUGGCGGCGAGUGGCGAAUGGGUGAGUAAUACAUCGGAACGUGCCCAGUAGUGGGGGAUAGCUCGGCGAAAGCCGGAUUAAUACCGCAUACGACCUGAGGGUGAAAGCGGGGGAUCUUCGGACCUCGCGCUAUUGGAGCGGCCGAUGGCAGAUUAGCUAGUUGGUGGGGUAAAGGCCUACCAAGGCGACGAUCUGUAGCUGGUCUGAGAGGACGACCAGCCACACUGGGACUGAGACACGGCCCAGACUCCUACGGGAGGCAGCAGUGGGGAAUUUUGGACGAUGGGCGAAAGCCUGAUCCAGCAAUGCCGCGUGUGUGAUGAAGGCCUUCGGGUUGUAGAGCACUUUUGGCGGGAACGAAAAGGACUGUGCCAAUACCACGGUUCGAUGACGGUACCCGCAGAAUAAGCACCGGCUAACUACGUG
rnacentral:rRNA from 1 species